CUCAGAUCUGAAUGGAGAACCUCAAACAUCAGCCUCACUUGACAAGGUAUCGGCCAUGAAUAAGCUCCCAGAUUUUCUGGGCUGGAGCCCACUCAACUGCCUUGAAUAUUUUACCAUAUUCUCCUGAAUUAUUAAACAUGUGUAUCUGACUUAAUUGUGCGUGCGUGUGUAUGUGUGUGCCGAGUCUCUGGCAUGAUGACAGUAUGAG